rnacentral:lncRNA from 1 species
ACCCCCUCUAACCUGUAAUUUACAAUAGCCGCCCUGGUAUGCGAGAAGGAGGUAGAACGGGAAUGCCUGUUCUCAGUGAGCCCUCACCCUCUGGAAUCCAUACUCGCUGUACCCCCCGUGUCCCGACAAGGCGUGCGUGUUUACCUUGCCCGGAGUUCAGAGUGCUCUAGACACUCACGACAAG